CCGGCCCGUCUCGGGGCCCUGAGUCAUCGCCGCCCCCGGCCCCGACGCUGGCCUGCGGCGUCUGUUUGUGCAGAGCGAGGCCCCGCCGGCCGGGCUUGACGUCAGGCUGGCAGGGCCUGGAACGGCCCCGCAUCGCGGCCCCCUGGGGGCAGGACGACACCGCUGGGGGCCGAGGGCAGGGCACGCCUUCGGAAUCCGGCUUCGAAGCCGGCCGCCUGACCUGGGGCAAGUGCUUUCAACUCUCUGAACUUCGGUUCCUCAUCUGCCAGUUGGCAGACGCUCAGCAAAUCUUCCUAGACUCACGGGGCGAAUUGUACAGUUGGGUAAAUCGAGGCCCAGAGAUGGCAAAAGGACCGUCCAAGGUCGUACAGCCACCCGGAAUUACAAUUCUUUUCUGCCGGGUCACACGCUGUCAUCCACGUGUUACCUAAGAGAGCUUUCCAGCCUGUGCUAAGAAAACUGCCCCACAUCAUCUGCAGUAGGACGGGGGAGUUGGAGCCCUGGUCAGGCCACUCUGCUACUGACCACAGUUUUCUCAUCUCUAAAAAGGCGCAGUAACAAUAUAAUUACCGUAUGCAGUCCCCCAGGAUACAGGGUCAAAGGAGAGCACAACCAUCGCAGUUGGAAGCCCAUGGGGCAGCCCAGUGCAGAUGCAUCUGACUUACGAAACUUCAGUGACACCUGCUCUGUGCCAGACACUGAAGAUGGAGCAGUGAACAGCACUGACCCAGCCUGUCCUCCUGUUGCCUGCAGGCCAGACGGAGUCUCACUCUGUCACCAGGCUGGAGUACAGUGGUGUGAUCUCGGCUCACUGCAACCUCCGCCUCCCAGGUUCAAGCGAUUCUCCUGCCUCAGCCUCUCAAGUAGCUGAGAUUACAGACGUGUGUCACCAUGCCCUGUUAAUUUUUGUUUGUUUGUUUUGUUUUUUGUUUUGUUUUGUUUCGUUUUUUGUUUUUUUUUUUUGAGACGGAGUCUUGCUCUGUCGCCCAGGCUGGAGUGCAGUGGCCCCGAUCUCGGCUCACCGCAAGCUCCGCCUCGCGGGUUCAUGCCAUUCUCCGGCCUCAGCCUCCCGAGUAGCUGGGACUACAGGCAUCCGCCACCACACCCAGCUAAUUUUUUGUAUUUUUUUUAGUAGAGACGGGGUUUCACUGUGUUAGCCAGGAUGGUCUCGAUCCCCUGACCUUGUGAUCCACCCAAGGCCUCGGCCUCCCAAAGUGCUGGGAUUACAGGCAUGAGCCACCGUGCCCGGUCAAUUUUUAUAUUUUUUGUAGAGACAGGGUUUCACCAUGUUGGCCAGGCUGGUGUCGAACUCCCGACCUCAGGUGAUUGUCGGCCUUGGCCUCCCAAAGUGCUGGGAUUACAGGCGUGAGCCACCGCGCCCAGCCGGUGGGCAGCCAGUUGUGUUCCGGGAGGAGGAGGACACCCUGGAAAGACAGUGGGGCCAGACACUGAACUGCCUUUGGAAGCAAGUAGGAGCAACAGCGAAGGUUUGCUGGCUCAGAAGCAAGGUCUCGCUGUGUUACCCUGGCUGGAGUGCAGUGGCUACUUACAGGCAUGAUCAUAGCAUACUGCAGCCUCGAACUCCUGGACUAGAGCAGUUCUCCUGCCUCAGCCUCCAGAGCAGCUGGGACUGCAGACACGCACCACAGAGCCCAGCCUGAGUCAUUUUGAUUCUGUAACUGGCUUCCUCUCGGCGGGCAGGCUCACACCCUCCACCCCCAGCUGGAGAUGGAAGGAGGAUGCUCACCGCCCAUUCCUCAUGCAGGCCAUCGAUGGAAAUGUCAGACAGUGCGAGUCCACGCCUGAACACUUCUGGGGUCCGCUCUGGGACUGACACUGGCAGAUCCAUCGAUGCCGUUCCAUUGUUUGCUGACUUUCAUUGAUUCUAUGAGAAGUCUGCAGUCUUUUGCAGCGUUGUUUUCCUAUGUAUAAUUGUCUCCUCCCACCCCACUCACCCCAGCUGCUUUCCACAUUCUCUCUCUUUGAUUUUCAGCAGUCUGCCCAUGAUGUGCCUAAAUAGGACUUUCUUUGCAUUCAUCUUGGCUGGGGCUCACUGAACUUUCUGAAUCUGUAGAUUAAUUUUCUUUUUUCAAUAAACCUUGGAAUAUUUUCAGCAUAA